ACCCCCUGCUGAUGGUGGAGAUGACAAUGAAGAUGAAGAUGAAGGUGAUGACUCAGAGCAGGGACCACCAGAAGGAGGCAAUCAGCAGCAGCCAGGUCGUCCCCCACGUCCUGGACAACAGCAGGGACCCCCACAGCAAGGAGGCCAGCAGCAGCAGCAGCAGCAGCAAGGUCGCCCUCCUCGUCCUGGACAGCAGCAGGGACCCCCACAGCAAGGAGGCCAGCAGCAACAGCAGCAGCAAGGUCGCCCUCCUCGUCCUGGACAGCAGCAGGGACCCCCACAGCAAGGAGGCCAGCAGCAACAGCAGCAGCAAGGUCGCCCUCCUCGUCCUGGACAGCAACAGGGACCCCCACAGCAAGGAGGCCAGCAGCAGCAGCAGCAAGGCCGCCCUCCUCGCCCUGGACAGCAGCAGGGACCCCCCCAAUCAGAAGGUAAUUGGGAGCUUCUGCCUCAUAUCAUCCUGCCAAUCCCUGGGCAUCACCUUCACUCUCCCAAGUGGAUAGAGUAG
rnacentral:lncRNA from 1 species